rnacentral:rRNA from 1 species
UACGUAGGGACCGAGCGUUGUCCGGAAUCAUUGGGCGUAAAGAGCGUGUAGGCGGCUCGCUAAGUCUUGCGUGAAAUCUCGGGGCUCAACCCCGAGCGGUCGUGAGAAACUGGCGGGCUAGAGUGCGGGAGAGGAGAGUGGAAUUCCUGGUGUAGCGGUGAAAUGCGCAGAUAUCAGGAAGAACACCCGUGGCGAAGGCGGCUCUCUGGACCACAACUGACGCUGAGGCGCGAAAGCUAGGGGAGCAAACAGG